CGCGUGGGAACGUGCCCCAAAGUGAGGAAUAACUGCCCGAAAGGGUAGCUAAUGCCGCAUAUGAUCUUCGGAUUAAAGGAUUUAUCCGCUUUGGGAGCGGCCCGCGUCGGAUUAGGUAGUUGGUGAGGUAAAGGCUCACCAAGCCGACGAUCCGUAGCUGGUCUGAGAGGAUGACCAGCCAGACUGGAACUGAGACACGGUCCAGACUCCUACGGGAGGCAGCAGUGAGGAAUCUUCCGCAAUGGGCGAAAGCCUGAUGGAGCAACGCCGCGUGCAGGAUGAAGGCCUUCGGGUUGUAAACUGCUUUUAUAAGUGAGGAAUAUGACGGUAACUUAUGAAUAAGGAUCGGCUAACUACGUG
rnacentral:rRNA from 1 species